AUUGUCCCUCACUUGUUCCUCCUGUUACCCCCCAGUUAUUUGCUGUUCUAUGUCUCAGCUUAAGAUUGGCUCUGGACUCCUGAGGUCGCAGAGGAACUGGUGCCUCUCUCCCAAGGUCUACAGGAUGUGCCAGGAAUACCUCCAAAGGAAGGGACCCAGGAGGCAUCCUGAUCAAAUGCCCAAACAUCUCAACUGACUCCUCUUGAUGCAGAACAACAUUGACUCAAGAUGAUGGAGUUCUUCACACUAUGUCUAAGGCUGAGAUCAGCGCCCCUACGAAGAUAUCUCAUUUCAGACUCUUGUAUCUGGGAGCUGUGAACAUUGUGUAUACUCUGACUGAUUCUCAUCUCUUUCCCACUUGAGUUAUUUUUCCCAUCUGUCCAUUACACUUAAGAUUUUUGGCUCUUCCUAUUGCUUUCACUUCUAUCUAAUCCCACAAAUAAUGAAGGAUUCAAUCAUUAAGCCACUAGCAAAUGAAAGAAAUGCCUCAUUUUCUGGUCCCAUUAUGAACUCACAUGGUAACUACAAAUGUCAUUGCUUAGAUUUCUAUAUAUAUUCAGACAAACUUUUUCUUGAAUUUUGCUUUGAGUCAGUUUUUGUAUUUUCCUUAUUUUGUAUAUUGUGCAUAUCAAAGCAUGUUAUCAUUGCUCUGUUCGUUGGUGUUUUAUUUUAAUGUUAGACUUUUAUGGCUUUAAAAGCUCCCUCUAAUUAGAGAUAAAACAUAUGUAGUGUGAGAUUUUUUGAUACGGUAAAGUUGUCAUAAUGUGCCUCAUUACACAAAUAAUUUUAAAACAUGUAGACUGGCACAACUGGAUAAUGAUCUAUUCUCUUCACUAAUAUGAGCUUCAAAAUAUGAUGAAAUAUGCUGCUGCAGCAACAAAAGAAAACAUCUCUAUCUGAGAUACAUCACUGACUGAGCUAUCAAUCAAUGCCAGAAAAUUACUAUAUGGACUAUAUGGUAAACAUGAGCUACUCAAAAGUGUUAUUUGAAACCACAACUUUAAAUUAACAACUUGGGGGAAAAAAGGGAUAAGAGGAAUCAAAUGAUUUGCUUUGCAACUGAAAGAAUGCCUGAACACUGUUUUUCCUUUUUUGUUGUCUUAUUCAUUUCCUUUUGAAGACUGAUUGACCUCAUGGGAACCAACAUCCUGUCCGAAUGCAGAAGACCCUCAUUUUUAGGGUUCUGAAUUAGGGUUAGAGUCAUUGUGUGAAGUAAGGAAUGUAUUAGUAAUGGCCAAGGGUUAAGUUAAGUUUUAAGGUCAGGCACAAAUGAUGCAAAUAAAAUUAAUGGAAGUCAAUAAAAAGUCCAUAUAUGACAAGAAAUACAAACUUGUGUGUGUAUGUGAUCGUUCUCAUUGAGUAGUAGUAAUUAUUGUACCGCCACCUGCUAACAAGAUUAUUGAAUUUAUAUUAUUUUUUACACAUUUGCAAAUUGUUUGUAUAAAUAAGAUGGUGUGAUCUGAUAUCCAUCCCAUUUGUUUGAAAAUAAUGCCACUUACCACAUCAAAGUACAACAGAAGAUGUGAUUGUAGUUUGAUUUUAAAUGUUAUACAGCUAUUAAAUUUAUAUAACUGCUCUUGGUCCAGACAAAAUAAAUGAUUAGUGGUUUCUUUGUGUCCCAUCAAGUCAGUUACUCUCCUUCACUCAGCUUCCCUGCUUUCAUCCUGCUGCAGCUGUUCCGCAUUUCCUAUGAUUAGCUCAUCCUGUUCCUUUUUCAUUUUGCACCCCUGCCUCAAUAUUUAAGCUUCAGUUUUUUUAUUGUUCGUUAAUUCUUCCAUUACAUCGCCUGUUACGUCCUUCUUUUUGAUGCCUGUGUUCCAAGACCUGUUCUUCUUGUGAUUCCCAUGUAAGUUCUCCUUAUUUUCCUUAUUGAAGUAUUGCAUUUACCACAGUCUGCCACUGCACAUGAGUCCUUCAAAACAAUUAAACAUGACAGGAGAAACUACUUACCAAGGGGGGAAGUAGAGGGAAAUGAUCUAAGAGAAACAGAUCCAAACGUACAAAGAACAGAACACAAGAAUAAACUACAAAACUUCGACACACAACACAAAGGAAUGAAAAAAUGUAAAAAAACAAAAAAAAACUAAUAUGGCACAAGAAACAACCUUAAGAACACAACAAACCAGGAAAUAAUGAAAACACAAACACAAAAAGAAAACCAAAACCCAGACACCCAUGGAUUGUAACAUUAUCCUUUUUAUUUGACAAUGACUAUUUUUUUUACCAUUGUUAGGAAAUUGGAAUUUUACUUUACAGAGUCAACUAGAUUUAUAGCUGUAUUUCAGGCUGAUGAAGAUGAAAUAAUAUCUAUUUUAUUAAUUUCUAAAAAAUCUGAAAACAACAGUUUAAUAGCCUUACAUUUAUUAAUAGCAUUCAUUAGUCUUACCUUUCGCAUUUUUGAAAACCCAGCUGUGUCUAACCAACUGCUUCAAAUAUCCACAUUAACAGGAGUUUAAUGAGGGCCCUGGCUGCCAAACACUAUAACUGCUCUAAUUAUUCUCAAAGUGCUCACCGUUUGAAUAUGAUCUGAUCUUCAGCAGAAACAUUCACAGGUUCUACAAGUGAAUAAAAUCUUAAAGGCGCUCAGCCUCUUUGGAGGAUAGAGACUUAACGAGCUCAACAGCCUUUGAGUUGCCUGGAGACUGUGGCAGGGUUAUAAAAGCAUUAAGGACGGAAAUCAAGUCCCGCUGAACACAUAAAGAAGAAAAAAGGCUGCACGGAUUCUGACUAAGCUGUGGGCGGCGGCUAGAGAGGGUAUAGGGCUGUGAGGACAAAUGGGCAAGACAAAAGCAGAGUUGAGAUCAAAACAUAAUCGACAAUCACUAAGGUUGUGACAUUUAGAUAAAGUUGAUUUAUUGCUACAUACAACUUAAAUCUUUGGGCAGAACUCCCCAUGAAAUACUCUUGGGCAAUAUGAAGGUUUAACAGUGACAUUUCACAGCACAGAGCUGCCAUGCAGUCCAUUUCCUUUUUCUAAUUACAGAGUGAAUAUCGGCAGUGUUUAAUAUUAUGCUGUGUCAAGCGUUGUCAAGAGGUACAUUUCUAUCACUAAUCUAAUUAACCUUUUCAUCUUUUCACUGUCUUCCACUUUCAUUUUCCAUAACAACUUUGCCUUGUGGUGUUAUGGCACAAUCCAACUAAUAGUUUAGAUUUUCCCACUUAAAAUAUUAAGAAUGGAGAAACAAAAUCACACAACCAGAACUAAUGAUAAGCCUAAAAUUAUGUUUUCCCUGUAUAUGCAAAAGAGAUGUAAAGGGCAACAUAUUUUAUAAGAGCACAGUCUAAAUUGAAGAUGAUUCACAGUGGUCAGUGGUCAGUCAGUGAUCUACACCUUUCUUUCUUUACCAACCUAUAAAUUAACUUAAUAUUAACUUAUAAAUGUGCCAUUUUAAAUCACUCUUUGUUUUCAUUGGCAGGAGAACUUUGACCAUAGCAACAACAGUUAAAUGUUAAGCGUCUACUGGCAACAUAUAGUUUUGAUCAAAAUAUAAAAUUCUUAAAAGAGGCUGCAUUCAAUGUAAGCAGUGUAAUCUUGCUAUAUAAAUAAUCUUGCCUUGCCUUGUGAAGUGUGAGUUCCGCAUUACGCAUGGGCAGUCACGAGCAAAAUGAGCUAACCCAUGCUUUUGGUUUCCAGCGUGACAAGUCCCACUGCAGGUAGCAUGUUUAACAUCUCCAUAGACUUUGUAUUUGUUUGUAUACUCAAAAAGAUGAAUACUUGCUUUAGUUUUUACAUUUCAUUAUGUUUUAAUAUUGGAAAAAAACGUAUUUAAUACCAAGGAAUAACAGAUGCUAGCAAUACAAUAUAAAAAAUAUAAAGGUUAAGUAAGUGACAGGUCAGUGCUUAGUAGGAGCACCUUUGCCUCUAUUUACAAGACUGAGUCGGUUUGGAUGUAUUUCAAUCACGCUGGCAUGUCUGAACACUGAUAAUAACUGCUUUCCAGUCCAGCCACAAAUUCUCAAUAUGAUUGAAAUCUGGGAUUUGAUUUGGCCACUUAGUGAAGCUUUUGCUGUUUGUUUGGGUCGUUGUCUUGAUGUAAAAUAAAUGUCCAUCCAAAUCAUAGUUCUCCAACAGACUGAAGCAGAUCCUCAAGGAUCUGGCUACAUCUUUCUGAAUUCAUGUUUCACUGUACUUUUUUUGUUUUGUUUUUGGUUGUUUAUGUUACACUGACAGUCAUGAAUCAUGUUGUACAAUGCCCUCGUUAGUAAAAA